GCAAUGUGAUUCCUUCAUCGAAAUUCAUUUAAAUGCUAACAAAAAUUGCAUAGCUUCUCUUCUUCUUUUUUUUUACAUUUUUGGUCAAUAUUUUUACAAAUUUUGGGUAGAUGGACCGAUUACAAUUUGUUGAAAAUUAAGGUUGGUCAGGUUACUCAAACCCUUUGUCCAAGCCUACCCAAAAUUGUGGCUUUAAAAUUGUGUUUCAGUAUAUUGCCUAAGUCCAUGAAUUUGCCUGGCGCCGUGCUCAGGUUAAUUAGCCCAACUCAAGUUUUGCAUUUUGUUUCAUGACCGUACACUAUUAUUUUUAAAUUUUAAUUGUUUCCAAGGAAAUUAGAGAUUCUUUCGCAGAGUGAAAGAGUAAUAUAAAUGAAAGUUUUUCUUUGUUUGUCUGUUUAUUCUUCUCUUCAGAUUUGAAUGUUUUGUAUGUGGAAAUAGCUACAUAUCACUAUUAUAGAAAUUAAACCAAUGUUCUAUAUGUGGAAAUAGCUAAACAUAUCAUUAUCAUAGAAACUACACUUUGUUUCAUUGACCGAAUCCAUAGUGAGUGUAUGAAUAAUUUUAUUCAACUAAUAGUACAAAAAAUAUCAUUAAAAUAUUUUCCAAGUAAUAUAUAAUUCAAGUCUUAUGAGAUUGAUGAUGGAACAAAUAUAUAAUUUUUCUACCAAUAUUUACGAUAUGAAUACACCGUUAUUGAAUGCUUUCAGAGUACCCUGUAAUAUUUAUAAUUGUUAUUUCUAUCUAAUCACGUAGGCUUAUAUCUGUUAAAUAGUUGAAAGAUAAGAGGUGAUCCAUAAUAUGUUUGUAGUUGUUAUUUAUUUGUUGUGAGUACCAUGUAGGAAUAUCACAUGACACUUUAGGAGUACCUAAUAAUUUCUCCAUUUUCAUGAUCUAAUAUGUAAAUCAAACAAGUCCUAAGAAACGACUUAAUCCACGAGUCAUGAGUCAUAUUCACAACUACUAGCUUUUAAUAGUACGUCAAUCAUACGCCUAGACCUUGUGGGUCUUGUUUUGUUCACUUUACAUUAAGUGUAAAUUAUACUUUGCACCAUUAUAUUUUUAUGAAAAAAACACUUUGGGCCUUUUAUGAGGUAGGGUAAUGACGACAAGGGGUUGGGAGUGGUGAGAGACCUUGUGGUUUUGGUGGGGUGGCUAUGGCAAUGGAAGGUGGCUAUGGUGUUUCGGGGCUAGGCCCACUAUGGUUUUGUAUUGGAGGAGAAGAUGAAAUUUGGAGGGAAAACGGGACAUACUGGGUAUAAAAAUAGAACCCAAUUUCUUUUUUUAAAUUUGCUAUUUGGGAAGGUGUAGGGACUAAGAAAUAAAGGGGGGUGUAAAUAGAAGUGCAAAUGGUGGAUCUCAGUUGGUGGAUCUCAGUUCUGACGUAGCUAGACAAGUAGUGCUAUUGUUGCGUUCUUCGUCAUGAAGUCGGACAAUCGUUCAUUAGUGGGGUUGAUUGCAACGAUUUAACAAGUCAAGGAGCAAUUUGAGAAAAUUCUUAAUUUGAGGGGCCAUAGUGGGAAUUGGCCAAUAUUUUAAGGGAACAAAGUGUAAGUACCUUAUAAAAACAUAUCAUUAUUCAAGCUUAGCUGCUCCAACACCCCCAAGCAUCUAUACACGUUUAGUGGCCUGGUUCUAUUUGAGCAUUGUGCUUGUACGGUUGAACUAAAACGCCUUGGUUUGUCUCUGAUGAUUGGUUUAGUGGAAAACAAACUAUACAUGUUUUACUCCCACCUAACACGUAUCCCCAAUUUUGCGGAUAGGAUAUCAUGGCUCCAAUCGUUAACUAGUUUUUGUAUUUGUUAUUAAUUUGGCUGUAUACCAUGUAGAAUACUACAAACAAUGGCGCUUUGAGCAUACCUAAUAAUUUCUCAGGAGUCGGCGAGGAAAUGUCUCAUGUUCACAACUCCUAGCUUCAAACGGAACCGUUUAUUCAUCACCUACUACACCAAAAUUGUCGGUCUUGCAUUGUGUUCAUUUCCGUGAUAGUAAAAUUACACUUUUGGCAACCAUCAAAUUUUUAAGAAAAAUUCAGUUGGGGGCCUUUCAUGUCAAUCACUCUCAUUUUAGGUUAAUUUUUAAAUGGUGACCCUGCUUUCAAUCCGCCGUAUAUAAUAGAGUGACCUAAAUAGGCUCGUGAUCGUUCUUUGAAUAGAGGAUGACAUAAACUUUGCGGCCGCUACGCCCGCCUGGGGCAAACAAUCCGCAUACUUUCGCGGGGAAAGCGUGGCGAUGGGGUGUAAAACAUAAAAAGAUUUUGUGGAUGGCUUUGCAUGCUUCCGCCUUGACACCUACCCCAAUUCUACCCUGCUAAAGUAAUAUAUAUUUUAUUUAUUAUAUUUAAUAUUAUUUAAUAAAUAUUUUAUAUUAUUUACUACUAAUAAAUCUCAAAUAUAUAAGGAUAUAUACAACUAUGGUCUUUUUUACUAAGUGAAAGUUAAUCAUUUUUCUUAUGUUAGUUUUUUUUUUUUUUUUGCGUUUGAAAGUAAAUGAUUUGUAGUUGACGAGGAAAAAAAAAACUGGGAGCAAGAACGGGGUGAGAAAAUUCGAUCCCCGUAGAGGAUGGAAGUGUGGUCAAUUUAAUCAUAGUCUGGGAUCGGGGAGGAGAGGAUAAUGCUUAUUCAUAGUGGGGAUAUGGAUGGAAUUUAAGACAGCGGCCCAUGCCCAUCACUACCUAAAAGAGGCUACAAAUGGCCCCCUUAUUGAAUGGAAAAGCAUACGGAAUAGCAAACAGUUGAUACUUGACCAAAAAGUUGUGAGCCAUUAAGCGAUAUAUUGAAAGUAAAGUGUAUAAAUUAAGAUUUUAUGGUAAAAUGAAGGUUGAGUUUAAUUUCCUUAAUUUUUAGGAAAAAAAGAAGUAAAAUACACUUUGCCUAAAGCUGAAAUAACUUUUUCAGAUAUUGUUUGUUUCUUCUCUCUAUUGAGCUUUCGCUAAUUAAACAGGAAAAGUGGUAAUGGGCAAAGUAGAGAAUUUGUGUUGGGCUUUUCUUUUUCGUUGUGAUUACACUCUCCUAAUUGAUAAUUCUUUUCAAUUGAUUCAUGCCCAAUCUCCUGAGUAUUAUCCCGUCGCCAAUCUUUCCACUUCAUGGGACCAACAACGACUCCGUUUGGCACAUCCCUUGAUUCUAUCGUCUCAUAACCUGCAACGCAUCCUUGUGAUAAGUAAUUUUGAUGUGGCUUCGGUGUGACAAUAGUAGCGGUGCCUGCCUUUGGCCAUCCUCAUCUCCCAUCCCCAGGUAUUGGAUAGAUCAUCCCCACAACCUCCGUUUGGUCUGCUCACCGGACAGUCCAUUCAGAUCAAAAUGCAACUUCGAUUCACACAAAAUGGAGAUUUGAUCUUGGAAAAUGACGAUGGCAGCUUUGUCUGGUCUACAAACACAGGAGGGAAGUCUGUUUCUGAUUUAAAUUUGACUGAAGAGGGAAAUCUCGUGAUUUAUGACAAAAACAAUAAAUUUGUUUGGCAGUCUUUUGACCAUCCAACAGACACCUUACUUCUUGGGCAGAAAUUAGUUCGUGGGAACAAGUUAACUGCCAGCGCAUCCGCAUCAAACUGGAGUCGAGGUUUGUUUUCGCUUGCUGUUCGGUGGCUGCUGGUUUUGUCGCGUACAUUGAAUCCGACCCACCCAGCUCUCUAUUUUGAAUACUAUCUUAUGCACUACCCUCAUAUAUCCAAUUUGGGAAAUGGAACUUCAGGGGUUCUCAAUACUCCCUGCAACAACAGGUCCGCAGUUCAUUAAGUUUUGGAAUCUGACGGGUCAUUUGAAGGUUUAUGAGUGGAAAGAAUCUGAUUAUAACUGAUGGUGGUGGCGGAUCUGCUCACAUCCUAUAUUGGUGACUGGUUGGUAUCCAUUGGCAUGUGGAAAAUAACGGUAUUUGUUCAGACGGGCAGUGCUUUUGUCCCAAGGAAGCCCACAGAACUGCAAUACAACAAGCUUUUUUUAGGCAACAACGAUAGGAAACCCAACCAAGGAUGCGCACAACCCUUAUUGCCAUCUCUUGUGAUCAUUCCAAUAUCAAGUCUUAUGAGCUUCAGAAUCAUCCUACGGUAACUUUGGUCAAUCCUACAAUUAAAAUCCCAGUUAGACGAUAAUAACCGAGUUGGAGGGCUGUAAGAAAGCAUGUUUGAAAAAUUUUUCGGCAGAGCCGCACAGUUUAUACGUCAGGGAAUACUAGUGAAUUGCUUAUUAAUAUCAGAAGUCUUCUCUGUUGUAGACGCAGGGGUGAUAAAUUUGAGUGUGUUUCCUAAAGUGCAAAAAUCCUGCAUGCAUGGACAACAACAUUAGCAUCUCUUCCACAAAUCGAUGCGGUCACAAUCAUAUUGGGGGGGUCCAGUCCUUGGUAGCUUUCUUCGUGUGUUUUUAAUGUUAAUGGCCGCCUUAGCUUUUACCUUUAAUGGAAAGGAAAAGGAGGCCAGGAACUUUAUGAGAUUUAUCUCGCCAAGUACCUGAAUGGCUGCCAGAUUCUCUUAUGAAGACUAAACAACCAUGACGCAACGAUUUUAGUACAAUGCGUCGGGGAAGGAGUGAUUUUGGUUCAGUCUUUGAAGUGAGUUGCGCAACGGCAACCAAAAUUUAGCAGUGAACGUCUACAUGGUUUAAGGUCAAGUUGAGAGUUCGGUUUCUAUCUGAAAGUUGAGACAAUAGGGCGGCAUCAUCAUGUAAAUUGGUGAGGCGGGUGGAUCCUGUGCGGAGAAUAACAUAUAGGCUUCUAGUGUAUGAGCACAUUUCUAACUUGUCCUUGGAUAAAUGUAUAUUUUGACAAUUCACAAACGGGCCACUCGUGGUUGGCAAUCGAGAAGGAAGAAUCAUCUUAGACUUAGCCAAGGGAUUAGCCUAUCUCCCAUGAGUAGUGGUCAGAAAAAUUUCAUCUGGAUAUCAAACCACAAAACAUCCUCUUUAGAUGAUAAAUUGAAUGGCAGAAUGUCUGAUUUUGGGUUGUCAAGUUAAUUGCAAGGAUCAAAGCAAUUUAACGCUUGUGGGGAACUCCGGGCUACAUGGCUCCAGACUGUUAACGUUAAACAUCACUGAAAAGUAGUGUGUUACAGCUUUGGUGUCGUGGUAUUGGAAAUCCUUUGUGGUAGGAAAACUUGGAUCGGUCUUCAACCUAGGGGGAUCUGCAUGUAUUGAGUCUUUUGAAGCGAAAAGCAGAAGACGGACGAGACUUGAGAUAUCCAUCGAUGCAGACAAUGAUAAAUGCAACUACAAGAAGCAGAAUCAUAAGAUGAUGAGGUUUCUAUGUGGUGUUUACAGAGUGAUUUGGCUAGGAAAGGCCUUCCAUGUCCUGUGGGGGUGGUAGGUCUUGGAAGGCUUUGUUGGAUGUUGAAACAAACUUGGAUUAUAGCUUUCACAACGCCAAGAAAGAAUUGGGCAGAUGUUUGUUCACAAACGAUCGAUGCCUUAGGUGUUGCUUACUCAAAUGCUUCCAUCAGCUUGUAUCGGGACCCAUGGUAAGGUGGAAGCACCUUCCAUAACAAAUAAAUAAUAAUUAAGAUUGGGGGGGGGGGGGGGCCGUAGAGUUGUACAGUCAAUUGCUUUAGUGUUUUGCAGUCAUCUUUUCUGUCUUUUUGAUUAGUGAAGUGUGAGAAUUGUGUGGGCGGGUUAGGUUCAUGAAUUGAGUAAUGGGUAGCAGUUGAGAGUCUAUUGUAUGGCCCAUUGUAAUAAGAACAAUAGUAAUUUGCAAUUAUAUGAUCAUUCACAUUGAAUUAAAUGAAUCCGAUACUUAGACACAAUACCAUUAACUGACACCCCGCAUCAGAGUCGUGUAACAUAGUUUAGUAUUUGGGGUUGGGCCAAGCCUUCAAAAAGGAAUUGAACUAGUUUGUGACAUUGCAAUCACAAAAAUAAUCACCAGCCUUCUAGUUUCGUUAAAUUGACCGCCUUCUUGUAAAAAACUUGUCAUAAGAGUUUUUCCAAUAAUGCUAAAAAGUAAAUAUCAACAUCGCCUACUAAUGUUGCCAUUCUUAAUAAAGAAAUACUAGGCCUCCCAGAUGUGCUGCCAAAUUCAUAGUUCCAGCAAAUUAAGAGAAUAAACAUAAAAAAUUUAAAUACACGACUGUCCCUUUCCUGCUCAUAAUAUAUAGUUUACUGGACGUUAAGAACCUAUAAAGCAUAAAAUCAAGAUUACAAUCAAAUUUCAUACUUCUCAAUUUAAGAAUUGUCAGAAUCUUCAUAGUAAACUAAAGAAUUUAAAAAGCGAAUGCCUUUUGACUGCUCCAAGCGAAUCCUGUUCCUAAAAAGUUUUAAAAAAAAGUUGCUCCUAGAACAAGAAUCCUUUUGAAAGCGCCCCUUACAGAAUCUGACUCUGUCCUGUAUUAACAGUCCUUUCACGCCCCAUACUCUAUGUCCAAGCAAUCAAAUAGCAGUUACUAACAAGCAGCUGCGCCACUAACCUCUAAAAGAACAAAAAUUAAAGAGUUCUAGAAUCCCGUUCAAGAAGAAGAGAUUAAGUUUGUAAUUUCGCACUGUACCUUGGUGUUUUGUCCUAAAUAUAAAAAUUCUUGUCGUGUUUUUUCCAUUAGAUUCAAUUCCUAUGCAUAUUUUUAAGCAUCCACAUGAACUAUUAAAGGCUUAUAAUAUUUUUAAUGAGAUGCAAACCUUUGUCAUUUUAAUUCAAGUACGAAACCACUACAACGAACACAUCUAUAAGGGAUAAAGACAAUAUUGACGGGUCUUCCAUCUUGCAAAUAGGGCAUAUCUUGUUAAGGCAGAAUUUUCGAAAUGCAACCCUUAUUUCCAAUUCCACGUGUUCCAGCUACUUCAUCGCCUACUUGUGCUUUUACGUUCUGUACAAUAUGUACACACGUCUUUUCUGGAUUAACACUAGAACCUACCAAUGCAAAGGACCUGAACAAUGUCAAGGUGAACACUAGAACUACUAAUCCAUUCUGCGAAAAGAACGGGGGGGGACUUGGUGUGUGAACACCCAAUACUUUCACGUCGAUAACGCAAAAACUAAUUACUGAGUGCAGGAACCCAGGAGAGUCUUUCCAGUUACAAAGCCAAGUGGAAGGGAGAGGAAUUCCAACUUAAAGCCGUCUCAACUACGGCCUCCUCAUCCAAUCUUUCCCCUUUUCCCCGGGAACACCCUCAAGCAGACCAUAAGAAUUCACUUUCCUAGCAAGUCCCCAUUCGUUCUGUCCAGCAAAACAAGGCUCUCCACGUACACGCCAAUAUAAAACGAGAAUUCGACGCCUCCCCUUUCAAGGUCCACAACACACUUACUCUCGGGGUGAUACAAAACCAAGUCUCCACCCCCAAUCACAAUCAACAAAUUUCCACUCGCUCUAAUACCAACUUCUUGUUGAAAUAUUUUCAAGAUAUGUAUAUAUGUACUAUGUUUUGAAGUUUUGGAGUCCACAUUGAAAAAGAGAAGGAAGUAGGAAAGGAAGGAAAAGGUUUUUAAGUGCUAGUCAUUAUGACUUGUUUGUCUGUUGUGCUAGGCCGAUACUUUGGGUGUAAGUGUGAUGCAAACGUAGGACGGUGCAAUCGUCCGCAACACGCACACGCGGGGGGGGGGCGCGCGCGCGUGGCGCAAUGUGGCGCUCUUAGUGGCGCACUUGGCACGUGGCACGUGUGUAGUGUGAUCAAGACCGUUGAUUUUUUUUCAUGAUGAUCAUUAACGAUUUGGACGGUUAAUAUUAAAGUUUAACAAACCAAGAUCGUAUGGUGGAAAUCACAUCUAAUUAUAAGAUGUGGAACGGCUUGAUUGGAUAUUGACGAGGUGCGAUCUCACCGUUGAAUACUAAAAGGUGUGAUUCGGUGGCAUGGUUUAAACCUAAUUUACUGUUAUAAAUGACAGUUUAGAAAUGUGACUGUUAGAUUUUGAAUCUAACAGUCAUCUUCUUCGCAAACACCUCUUCAUGAAAAGACCCUAUUCUGUCUAUAAAUUUACAGAUUUCGCAGCAAUUUAAGACCUUGAUUUUCGAACUUCUCUUUUUCUUUUGGAAAAUUACAGUUUUCAAAUUUGUCGUGAAUUCUGUUUUCUGGCAGAAACAAAAUUUCCAGAUUCUUGGCUACCUAGAAAAAUCUGAAAGUUAUUAGGUCUGAUUUCGUUUGUGGCAAACGCAGUCAGACUCAGAUUAGAUUCUGAGCUUCAUUGUAUCCUAGAAGCGAUUCGCUGUGAACCCAGUGCAUACCAGUCUUACAGAAUUGGUGUGGGCGAAUAACGCUUAAGGAAAGCACAUUUUGACGUGCCUAAAGUCUUCUGCAAUUGGUGAAAUUUGCUCUAACACUUCUGGGGUUAAACCGGCCUGCAAAUCAGCAGUGUAUUGCUUAGUCCACGACUCUACUACGCUAUAUUCUUUCAUCGCCCAAACAGAAACAGCCCCACAUUGUCCACCGCGAUUGUGAUCGAAAAAAAUCAUAGAGAUGAAACUCCCAACUAGGUCAAGUCCCAAGUUCAAUAGCAAACCGGAGCCAAUGUUUCCGAGAGCUCCAUCUCGCAAAACACCUCAUCGUCCAUACCAAAUGACACAAUCACAUUACGGUAAUCAUCAUCCAAUGUGAAGCCCCAUUCACAAAAACCUGCAUUGUAUUGAGGAACACAGUAACUAAUGUCUGCCUUGGGAAGUAAAAACUCAUCCAGGUAAACGAUUCUGACUACCUUGCAGUCAUUGUUUGGGUAAACUUUCCCGUUGACCUCUAUAGUUUAGAAAAAGUUUUAGUUUGAUCCGUACACAUCUAAUUUGAACAACUAUAACUCUAUAAUUUCCUGUGAGUCGCAGUGUGAUCCCUCUAUCCAUAUUCGCUUAAAGCUAACAGAAAUCGUAUUUUUUUUUCUUGAGACCUGGGUGCGAAACGUAGCAGUAACAAAAACCAACCUCAACAUUGAAAAUAAUAAAUAAAACUUUAGAAUUAAAAGACAAAAGUGUCCACUACCCUUUCUAUCCUUUCCAUAGUAUAGAAAUUCAAGUUGUCAACAAAUUGUUUCCGAGAAAAUUGUUUACAGGAAACUUGAUUAAAGUGAAGUAGAAAUAAAAAAUUAUCUUUUUGUGGGUGUUGUCAUUUGACCAAAAAAAUUUGUAGAAACUAAAAUUGAUAGGGGAAAGUAAUGAAAAAAAUAAAAAAAAGAAAAAAACAUAAAAAUAGAUUCGUAAAAAACUGUUUAUUCAAACUGCGUCGAAGAUGACAAGCAAAUUUUUGGAACCAAGUAAAUUUGGGUUCAACUUGUACAUAGGACUGGUUUACACGCCCGAGUUCUAUUUAUCAUAUGUUAAUUAGAAACACAUUAAUGGUAGAUACAUUUGUUUUGAUAUCAUACAGUAAAUAAGUAAAUGAUACACUUUUCAAUCAAUGUUUAAUUGAGUAAGCCACGUAGAUUUUAGAAACUCCAAUUAAUGACAUUUGUACAGAUCAGUUGUCACAUGUACAAUGAAGUGUUCAAUUAACUGCAACUAAAAAUUAACUAUUGAUAAUUGUAUAAUUAGAUAUUUAUUAGGAUUUUUUCUUCUCAGCUUUUCACUCAUUAAAAAAAUAUGGUAUAAAAAUUAUUAUUUUUUUUAGUAAUGUAAAUGGCAUUAUUCAUGUUAUCUCACUAUUUAUUUUUUAUUUAACGUUUUUAUUUACUAUCCUUCUAUUUUUUUUAGUAGCAAAUUUGAUAAUUAUUUCUUCAAAAAUUAAAAAGUGAUAAUAUUAAAAUACAAUUGUGCAAAAAAUUCAAAUAUUUUACUUCUCUAGAUGUGUUCUAAUAUAAUUAAAAAAUUAAAUAUUCAUUAUUACUGAUAUUAAUAUAUUUUAUUUUCUUUCUAUUUCUCCUACGAUUUGCCUAUUUUCUCGUAAUCAAGAAAAAAAUGCAUGUAUACAACUAAUUUUUCGACAUGCACUGUAACAAAAAAUUCUAAAUGUAAAUUUUAAAAGAUUGACCUUUAUAUAGAAAAGUUGUGAUAAUGCUGUGUUUGGAACCCAUAUUUGGUGAGAGAAAUAAAAAUAAAAAAGAAGUUAGACUACCCAACUAUUCAGUAACAUUGGAUCAUCUAUCAUUUUUAUUUCUAUUUUAUUUUUUCUCACCAAUUCCAUGAUUCAAACACAGCCUAAAGAGAAAAUUGAGGACACACAAUACGAAUACAUUCACAUGUAAAUCUUAAAAAAAAAAGGAGGACAAGACACGCUUGAAGAGUUAAAUAUGUAUCUUCAUACAAAUAUGUUUUAAGUAUUUUCUAAAUAUUUUGUAUAAUCAAUGAAAAAUUCGUACGUGUCCUUCUACCAUUCGUUUUCAUUAUUGUAUUUUGCAUGCCUUCAUCCAGUAUAUUGCUAAAAUCAACUAGGCAACAAACUUUUUUGCGUAUGCAGAGUGUCCCAAACAUGUUCCGCAUGUAUUUCAAUUGUCAAAGUGAAAAACAUGAUAAUGAAAUAAGGCACAUCCUUAUUUGAUGUGAGACAUGUGAUUUACAGACAGUAUUUGUGGGAAAAUUUAUAUAAAAAUAAAAUGUGUUACUUGGAGUAUCGCCUUAGAUGAGUGUCACACAACUUUGGACAGCGUCCGAUACAUAUAUGAAAGAAUACUUGACUUUUUGGCAGUGUCGUGUUUCUAAAAGUAAAUUAGAGCGUCACAGAAAAAAAAAUCAUAUAUAAGUAAGAAUAAAUGCAAAUUUGUGUCCCCCAAAAACCUAAAAAAUUAUGGACAAUAAAUAAUUUAAAAAUAAUUUUAAAUCUAUACGCAUCGCAGAAUGAAUAAAUCCAUACACAUACAAAAAGAAAUAAAUAUCUUUGCAUAUGUAGUUAUGAGUUGUACUAACUUAUAUCUUUCAAAUUUUUAAUAGAUAUUAUUUCUUAGUAAAAGUAAGAACUUCAUAAAUUUAAAAGAGAUUUUUAUUUAUAAAUAAAAAAAACCGUGCAUCGCACUGGCUACGGACUAGUUUGGUAAGUAAUUCUCCCCGUUUUAUAUAAUAGUAACGUUUAGACUAUUCUCUUUUAAACUAUUUAUUCUAUUAUUAACCACCAACACCACUAUAACCAUACUUGUCUAUUUUUAUGAACUAUUGGAUACACAUUAACACUUUAAAAAGAUUGUCAUAAUGAAUUCCGCCUUUUUUUUUUUGCAAGCUGAGAUUUGAACCUGAAUUUGAACUUAAGCUUGCCCAAAUUCUGUGUACAUGAUGCAUAGAAAGCAAAUUAGAAUAUCAAUGUUCUUUGACUUUCUAUGAUUACGGCUGGAAUGCCAGAAAUAAAGGUAUACUUUCUCCUGUUUUAUAAUACCUUCGUUCAUUUCAUCCUAAUACUCCUCUCUAGCUUCGAGAGGAGAAUUAGGAUUCCACAAAUUUUCUGCUAACUUAGAAAUGAAAAAUACAGAAAAUCAGAUUUUUCAUUACUUUUCUAUCAUUUUUCUUUUCUUUUUUCAUUAUGGUGACCAAAUAACAGAGAAGUGUAUUUUUUUUUUGAUCCAUCAUUGUUUACAAUUAUGACUAGUUAGACCAUUGGAUAUCAAGUCUACCAGUUUUGAAUGUUAAAUAUGCUCUAUGCAAUUACCAUUUAUGUAUGAAAUCAUUUAUAAUCAUGGAAGCAAUCACAGCUUCGAGUCAGAAGUAUACCUUAGUAAUUGUUGAGGAAUUGUCCGAAGGUUAUUGAAAGCUGAAAACACCACUACUUCUAGUCAAGUCAACAGGGCUAAUAAUAAUAAACAGUAGGCUAAUGACUCCGUUUAUUCUUUAAUAUAUAUGUAAUUAACCUCAUGGCAUCUCUUGUCCCCUUUUCCGAAAAAAAAGGUAAGGGUUCCACCGAUCUUUCACAAAGGUAAGAGAUACCAUGUUUCACAUUGAAGUGAAUAAUGAGGCACAAAACAGAUAUGAAUGCAAUGCCCAUAUACUGAUAAUAAGAUGAGUUGGAGCUUUUCGGUGAAAUCUAAGCUGAACUUGGUAGUCCAAUCUGAUGUUGUAAGAUCUUCGUCGAAUAAAGCUUUCUGCUGCAGGAAAUCAUCUUCGUCGAAUAAAGCUUUCUGCUGCAGGAAAUCUUGGCAGCAAAUUAGUUUUCUAGUAAUAAAUCAAACGACAAAACUAAGGGAAAUAUAGGUGAAUGAUGUACAUGCUCUUGGUUCAACAUUUCCAGGGACAGAUGGUACUCUUAAAUCAUCUUCCUUAGAAAGCGACUCUGAGUGUUUUAGCUGCUCGCUUGGAGAGCCCAUGCCUGUAGACUUCCGAGGUGACAAAACAUCUGAUCACAGAGACUUCCAUCACUCAAAAGGGUAGUGUUUGUAGUUCAAAACAGAAAGUUACAAGGUUUUCAGCAUGUCUGAAAAUUAAGAUAGAUUCAAUGCAACAAUGAAAUAUGGGAUGCUCUAAUAAUAGCUUACCCCUAACAGAUCAUUUAAAACCUCAGUCCAAGCCACUGACAGCUGGCAAGUGGCGUGUAUGAAUAUAGCUAGUGCGCUAUUUGAGAUUAGAAGCAUGUUUGAUUUGAAUACCUUCCAAUGGAUGACUGCAGGACAAUGAAGCUCCCAAAAGCUGAGUGUAUAUUUUCCUUGCCGGGGUUGAAGGAAAACACAGAGAAAAUUCAUCCCGUGUGCUUUCAUAGCGUCCUCAUUGCUCAUGUUUCAUUAGCCUAGCCUGUAAGAACGGUGAUACUAAUUCCAUCGCAUAAUUAAGUUCAUGAACCACUUAUACACUCAAAUUGUAGAAUUUGAAAGAAAGAAGAAAUAACUAGUAUUCUAGCCGACAAUACCAUCAGAGCUCCUCCAUCUCUUUCCAAUAGACAUCCAAAAGACAGUUUUGAAACAAGAACAAUUCCUGGAAAUAAUGGAAAAGGAUCUGCUUGAAGCACACAAAAGAUUAAGAAAAAAUAGGGGUGACUUUCAAGGAAACAUGAAGUGCACACAAGUUCAAAAGAAAUACAUCCCUAGGGACAAGUUUCUCUGCUUCACAGUGCAGUCAAUUUUUUUUGGGAAUACAGAGAAUUACGACUUCUUUUGUUUAAUGAAGCAAGUAGAGUACACUAAAAUCUUAUAGCUACAUAAGAGCGAAAAUAAAUUCGAAAGCAAAAAUGCAAAAAUAAAUUUAAACAUAUCGAUGCCUACCUACAAUUAGUAAGUGAAGUUCAAUUUGAUGAGAAUUCAUUUAUUAUUUAUGGGCCACUUAAUAAACAAGUUUUUGAGCAAGAGGAAGAGCAAGUUCCAAGUUUUUGAGCAACAGUCAGGACAUUGAAAUCAGACUUUGGGCAGAGUCGUCCGCUAUUGCAACUUGUCACUUGCAUAAAACUUAACUAGCUAAGCCCGAUUUUCUUCGCUAAUGGACCAAAAUGAUGAAAUCCAACCAAGGGUUGCGUUCUAUGCCCAAAAAACAUAAUUUUAAGUAUUUAAGGAUCAAUUAUAUGUUUCCCAGCCUGUUCCUAAUUAGGCGGGUUUUUUUUUCUCUUCUCAUGGAAAACAAUAAAGUAAAUACAUAUUUACUGCAUGUUCUACGUUCCUACACGGUUUGGCAACCAAUUAAUUUGAUCCAAUUCCUCCUUUUAGAGCGCCAUGAAUAUCCUAGAAAGUAAGAUUUUCUUCUUCCCAUGUUGAAAAAGGGCAUAUAAUCAUAGGAGACAGGGUUGAGCAAGGGGAAGUUUCUGUUCCUGUAUAUUUGGCACAAAUGAGAAGGUUGAAUGUUCAUUAAAUUCCAGUUGUUUUGCUACCCAAAAUAUACCCUUUAUUCUUCAACAGAUGAUUGAAUGACUUGCCUUUCUACACAAAUCUAAUGGCUAUUUAGGCAACAAAUUUUGCGAGCCUGGUUUCACUUGCGUCUCAAAUGCCCAAUGCCAAUAGUGAUCAAAAAAAAAAAAAAGUGCGAUGCUUCCCAUUUACUUCUGUGGUUCAGGGUGGAUGACGUUAGCUUUUGAUCCAGAGACAAAGACUGUAUUUCCUUCUGGCACAUAUGUUUUUGAGCCUAGUAGUCAAAGCAAUUAAUUUCAAAAGGCCCUUCCCUCCAGGUUUUAAUUACUUCUCAUCUAAAUGUCUUGAAAGUUCUGCAAAUCCACGUAAGCCAUUAUUAACCAUGGAAUAGAUCCACAAUUAUUAACUAUGGUUUAGUUUAGUUUUUUAGAAUUAGUUUUCUUUCAGAAUAUUUUUAAAAAUUAUUUGUUGAAUUUUGUAAGUUUAUUUUCCUCCGAGUUUCCUAAAAAAAGAACAAUUUUUAGAAAAUAUGAAUCGAGUCUUUAAAUCCUCAAAAAAUUAUUAUUUUUUUAAAAAUAAAUUUUGAAAAACGUAUUAUGUAAAAUUGAUUUGAACUAAACCCCCAUCAAAUAAGUUACAUAUAAAAACCUAAAAAGAAGUCGCACGUAAGGGGCCGCAUUUCUAAUGUGAAAUUCAAAAUGGUCUAUUUCACAAGUAAUGAUUCUUAAUUUUGAAAUUUGAAAUUCAACUAAGCAAUCUGUUAUGGACUUAAUUGUUGAAAAUGUCGGCAAAGCCUGCUACCAAUGAAGUCUGAUGACAAGAACUGCAGGGAAGAUCCACCAACAAGUCCAACUGCUUUUUUUUGCAUCCCAACUUUAAAUGUGAGAAGAAUCACAAUAUAAAUGCCAUUUUGAAUUAACACCUGAAAAUGUUGUGAUCCUCCACAACGCCACUUUUCAUCUAAAGACUUGUUUUAAACUUUGUCUUUUAAAUAACGGUCUUGUUGACCACCACCCAAUAGGCGGUGGCUGGUGCACACUGUUCAUAAAUAUAUACACUUUUACAUGUUUCAACGACUGGGCGGUGAAAAAACCUAUACAGUUUUUUGUUUUUUUUUUCAUUUGCCUUUUUAUAUUAUUUAAUGAAGACUUUAAUGUGAUAGAAAGGAUAUAUAAAAGUCUUUAUAGGAAUAGAAAAUAUCUUCAAUUUAUAGAUUACUAUAUAUGUAAAAUAAAGGGUAAUUAUAUCAUUUAGUUAACAUUGUUUGUCAAGGAAGACCAGUGUAAUUUUCAAUCCCUCAAGGAGAAAAGUGGCUUAAUUACAAACCUCAGAGGAAGUUUGUGUAAUCUACUUUUAGGGAUGGUUUAGAGAGUUAGUCUUUUUUAAUUUUAGGUGACUACCAGACAUUUAAUAUCAACUUUAGCCGCA
rnacentral:lncRNA from 1 species